rnacentral:rRNA from 1 species
CGGACGGGUGAGUAACGCGUGGGCAACCUGCCCCAUACAGGGGGAUAACAGCCGGAAACGGCUGCUAAUACCGCAUAAGCGCACGGCGCCGCAUGGCGCAGUGUGAAAAACUCCGGUGGUAUGGGAUGAGCCCGCGUCUGAUUAGCCAGUUGGCGGGGUAACGGCCCACCAAAGCAACGAUCAGUAGCCGGCCUGAGAGGGUGGACGGCCACAUUGGGACUGAGAGACGGCCCAGACUCCUACGGAAGGCAGCAG